CCUACGGAGAGUAUAUAACAAUGCAAGUACUGUUUGGAGGUAUCCAUCAGGAAAACAUACUCGAUGAAGUAGGAA
rnacentral:ncRNA from 1 species